rfam:Dipodomys ordii contig_26212, whole genome shotgun sequence.
GGUGGCUCAGUGGUAGAGAGCUUGCCUUGCAUGCAUGAGGCCCUGGGUUCAAUUCCUCAGCACCA